UACGGAGGGUGCAGGCGUUAUCCGGAUUCACUGGGUUUAAAGGGUGUGUAGGCGGGCUGUUAAGUCAGUGGUGAAAUCUCCGGGCUCAACCCGGAAACUGCCAUUGAUACUAUCAGUCUUGAAUUCUGUUGAGGUGGGCGGAAUAUGUCAUGUAGCGGUGAAAUGCAUAGAUAUGACAUAGAACACCAAUUGCGAAGGCAGCUCACUAAGCAGAUAUUGACGCUGAGGCACGAAAGCGUGGGGAUCAAACAGG
rnacentral:rRNA from 1 species